rnacentral:tRNA from 1 species
GCGGUUAUAGUCUAGCGGCUAGGAUAGAAGCCUCCCACGCUUCCGACGCGGGUUCAAAUCCCGCUAACCGCA